AUUGAACGCUGGCGGCAGGCCUAACACAUGCAAGUCGAGCGGAUGAAGGGAGCUUGCUCCUGGAUUCAGCGGCGGACGGGUGAGUAAUGCCUAGGAAUCUGCCUGGUAGUGGGGGAUAACGUCCGGAAACGGGCGCUAAUACCGCAUACGUCCUGAGGGAGAAAGUGGGGGAUCUUCGGACCUCACGCUAUCAGAUGAGCCUAGGUCGGAUUAGCUAGUUGGUGGGGUAAAGGCCUACCAAGGCGACGAUCCGUAACUGGUCUGAGAGGAUGAUCAGUCACACUGGAACUGGGACACGGUCCAGACUCCUACGGGAGGCAGCAGUGGAGAAUAUUGGACAAUGGGCGAAAGCCUGAUCCAGCCAUGCCGCGUGUGUGAAGAAGGUCUUCGGAUUGUAAAGCACUUUAAGUUGGGAGGAAGGGCAGUAAGUUAAUACCUUGCUGUUUUGACGUUACCAACAGAAUAAGCACCGGCUAACUUCGUG
rnacentral:rRNA from 1 species